AUGUUGAUUUUUAUUUUUAUUAAUUUGUAUUUGCUUGUUAACAUUAAACACUUUCCCACCAACCAAAAUUUUGAGAGUAAAUGUUUACAGAAAGAUGAUUUUAUUAAACUAUCCUGUCGAAACAAAGGUCAAACACAGAUAUUUAUCCCAUGGUGGGUCAUUACAUCAUUAGUAUGUUACAGUGUAGAUGUGUCAGACCCAGUCCACAGAAUACUGCAGGUCCAGUGCUGGGCUGCUGCUCCUCCACAUCUGAUUCUGGUCACUGGUUGGCUCAGAGCUGGAUGUGACACUGAACAGCUGUAG
rnacentral:lncRNA from 1 species